rnacentral:rRNA from 1 species
UACGUAGGUGGCAAGCGUUGUCCGGAAUUAUUGGGCGUAAAGAGCUUGUAGGCGGUUUGUCGCGUCUGCUGUGAAAAUCCGGGGCUCAACCCCGGACUUGCAGUGGGUACGGGCAGACUAGAGUGUGGUAGGGGAGACUGGAAUUCCUGGUGUAGCGGUGAAAUGCGCAGAUAUCAGGAGGAACACCGAUGGCGAAGGCAGGUCUCUGGGCCGCAACUGACGCUGAGGAGCGAAAGCGUGGGGAUCAAACAGGAUUAGAUA